GUUAACACGGUUAUUAGUGAUGAAGACGAUUCUUUACCCGGGUUAAAUUCUGGAAUGGAUGCCUGAUAGUCAGAGCCCACUCGCAUUCCGACAUCUGCAACAAUAACCAAAAAAAAAGAUAAUAAAUCACCCAAUUUUUUUCAUCACCGCAGAAUGAUGGAAGCCCAGCAUGUCAUAGAUGAGAUGCCAGCCACAAUGUUCUUGCAGUGAAUACACUUUAAGGACUCUCUUUGCAAAUCCACACUGCGAAGAGGUGGGCAAACGUCUCUUCUCUGCAGCAACCGUCCCGAGGGCAGCCUGUGCUGGUAGUAAGAUUCCGGCGGUGCAGCAAUGAUCUGACGACUGAGAGGGUCCCUCUCACUGCCAGCCAAGAAAGGUCUUGGUGCUUGUUGGUGAGUUCUGGCGAUUAG